CCUACGGGAGGCAGCAGUGAGGAAUAUUGGUCAAUGGAGGGAACUCUGAACCAGCCAUGCCGCGUGGAGGAAGAAGGUCCUAUGGGUUGUAAACUCCUUUUGUUCCGGAGUAAUAAGGGGCAUGCGUGCCCCGAUGAGAGUACGGGACGAAUAAGCAUCGGCUAACUCCGUGCCAGCAGCCGCGGUAAU
rnacentral:rRNA from 1 species